rnacentral:rRNA from 1 species
UUUGAUCAUGGCUCAGAGCGAACGCUGGCGGCAUGCUUAACACAUGCAGGUCGCACGGUCAGCAAUGGCAGUGGCGGACGGGUGAGUAACGCGUAGGUAUCUAUCCACGGGUGGGGGACAACGUCGGGAAACUGACGCUAAUACCGCAUGAUACCCGAGGGUCAAAGGCGCAAGUCGCCUGUGGAGGAGCCUGCGUACGAUUAGCUUGUUGGUGGGGUAAAGGCCUACCAAGGCGACGAUCGUUAGCUGGUCUGAGAGGAUGAUCAGCCACAUUGGGACUGAGACACGGCCCAGACUCCUACGGGAGGCAGCAGUGGGGAAUAUUGGACAAUGGGCGAAAGCCUGAUCCAGCAAUGCCGCGUGUGUGAAGAAGGUCUUCGGAUUGUAAAGCACUUUCGGCGGGGACGAUGAUGACGGUACCCGCAGAAGAAGCCCCGGCUAACUUCGUGCCAGCAGCCGCGGUAAUACG